rnacentral:tRNA from 1 species
CCCUGGUGGCUCAGACGGUAAAGCGUCUGCCUGCAGUGCGGGAGACCCAGGUUCAAUUCCUGGAUCAGGAA